rnacentral:rRNA from 1 species
AGUGAAUAAUUCAACGGCCGCGGUACCCUAACCGUGCAAAGGUAGCAUAAUCACUUGUCUAUUAAUUGUAGACCAGCAUGAAUGGCAAAAUGAGGGUCUAACUGUCUCUUAUAGUAAAUCAAUUAAACUGAUCUCCUAGUAAAAAAGCUAGAAUAACCACAUAAGACCAGAAGACCCUGUGAAGCUUAAACCAUACUAUCAAACCCCAUGAUAACUACUUUCGGUUGGGGCGACCUUGGAAUAAAGAAGAACUUCCAAAUAAUGACCAUGAAUCAUAUAUAUCGGCCUACAAGCCCAUACUUGACCCAGUAAAACUGAUAAUUGAACCAAGUUACUCCAGGGAUAACAGCGCCAUCUUCUUCAAGAGUCCAUAUCAAAAAGAAGGUUUACGACCUCGAUGUUGGAUCAGGACAUCCUAA